CGGCACGGAGCUGUUUGGGGUGCUCCUGUGAGGAGGAGCGGGAGUGGGGUGUUAAUUGUGGGUGUUUAACGCCCGCAUCCCAGUAUGUAGCAGCGAACUUCUUAUACUGUGGGGGGCUUUCUUUCUAAAACGUUCCUUGGCAUCUAAGUAAAGCUGCAACAUCUGCUUUGUCCUCUAUCAGUACGUGCUGUUAUUAUUGUAUGCCGCUUGUGUUACUAAAGAUUAUUCAUCUCUCCUUAAAACCAUUAUAUGUUAAGUUACAGCCCUCUAAGAAAUACUUGGAAUUACCUUAGAUCAUUUUAUAUGGCAGGAAAAUGUCCAAAAACUAGAAGAUACUGGCUUUACUUCUCUCUAUAUUUUUAUUUCUUACAAGGUCAAAAGUGUGUAUUCAUUUCAAAAGACUGUAAAACGUCUUUAUUUCUCCAUCGCUAACUUUGUACCAGGAGGUGGUAUCGUAGCACUAACGCCCGUUGUUAGCGCAGCAGGUGCUGCUCUAAUUCCUGACCACACAGCAGCAGUCACCAACUCCAGCUUAGUCUUUCAUAAUUACACUGUGCUUACAGCACCGUUAGCAGCAGUGUCCCCGUUCGUCCAUCAGUGCUUUCUGGACCACUCCGUGAGCGGACAGUUGUCGGUCAUGUUGUUGAAUAACUCAAAGGGAGGAAGAGAAACAGAAUGACUCAAGCUCCUGAGUCUAAAUUGUCUCAUGGAAAGAUCAGCUGAGUGUCAGAAGUCAAUAAAGGAUGCAGCUUGGACUGCAUAGCCAGGAGUAGCGAGUGAAGGGGAGCAGGGAGCGAGGAAUAUGUAGCUCUUUAGCCAUGACUGAAGCAUGACAGCUGCUCAGCCAAAGUGAUGUAUUUGAGGCCAGAAGAAAAGACAGUGCCACAUCCAGAGGAUAUAGCUAGAGAAACUUAGGCAAACAUAGUUGAUAGAUUUGGAAUUUGAUGAUGAUGCUAGCGCUUAUUUUCUGCUUUUAUGUAGAGUCCAUAGUUUCUUUAAUGAUCAAA